GAGGGCAAAGCGAGAAAGGAAAACUCGUUUGUAAAAUUGCUGCAUCAUUGCUGUCGUGUUUGUUGCCGUUGCUACGAGUGUGUUGCUGUUUCCUGAACUGGAUUAUUGAACUGGUAGUUUCCCAGAGCGGGGUCAAAAGUCGUCGCAUUGAUAGCCGUUCUGUAGGAAGGUUAGUAGCAUUCAAAUACGCUGCACGGAAGAAAGUUGUGGAUCAACUAACAGCCGAACAUUGUUUCUGUCCCCAAACAGUGCGCCGUAAAAGUUCAUCCAAAAAACCCGUCAGGAGAAUCAGCACUGAACCCGGAGGAAACACGCAGGAGGCAUCUACCGAUUAGAUCUGCCGAACAGUUUUAGAACGGAGAGCCGACAUCCUGUGCAAAACGGUUCUAGUUCACUGUAGGUGAUUGGGAGGUUUCACAGAGCAACCGAAGAAGCAAUCUUAACGGUACCCUGACCCCAAAUAGGGGUUUUUAUUGGGAGCUGAAAACCGACGCUGCCUGGAGUCAGUCUUUUUCCCGGAGCCGAAAGUUGUUCCGUCCGGAAACUGGUGCCGUAUCCUCCUGGAAGCUGAAGCUGGAUGCCACGUCAACUGCCAGUGGUGCUCAACUGGGUUGGUCAUCGGAUGACAACAUCGGUCGCUGUAAAGAGAAGGUGAAGAACAAAAAUAAGAACAAGUAAGUACUAGCGCUAGUCAGAAGAUAAAGAAGAAGCUUAAGUAAAGCAAGAAGAAAAUAAGAAGCAGGCAAGCAGGAAGAAGAAGCAGCAGUACAGAAGGAAGAAGAGAAGAGGCGGAAUGGAAGAAAAAGAGUAGGAGCGGAAUGGAA